GACAGAGGUUGCAAACGUUGUUCGGAAUUACUGGGCAUAAAGCGCACGUAGGUGGUCCGCUAAGUCGAUUGUGAAAUUCCCCGGCUCAACCGGGGAACGGCACUCGAUACUGGCGGGCUUGAGGUCCGGAGGGGUGAGUGGGACUCCUGGUGGAGCGGUGAAAUGCGUAGAUAUCAGGAGGAACACCGGUGGCGAAAGCGGCUCACUGGCCGGAAUCUGACACUGAGGUGCGAAAGCUAGGGUAGCAAACGGG
rnacentral:rRNA from 1 species